rnacentral:lncRNA from 1 species
CUAAGUCUCUAGAUGUCCCUCUCUCUCUCUCUCUCUCUCUCUCUCUCUCUAUUCUGGACUUUCAUCUUCUUCGUCUGAUUUUCUUCGAUCUUUUUGAUCUCUUAUGAGUGAUCUAGCUAGAAUAUUAGUUGAAUCUAUGGGAUUCAUGUUGCUACAGUAAUCAAGCCUGAAAUAUUGGCUGAUUUGGUGUUUGUAGUGGUUGGCAAAAAGUCAUGUUCCUAUUUUUGGUAAGGUUCUUGAGAUUUAAGAGAUCCAAGUGUGGAUCGAUGAUUAUCUCUAAGUCCAAUUCCGUCUUCAUGCUUGUACUCCAUUUGGAUGGUUUUUUUGUGCUUAGUAAUCGGGCUAAUCUCUGAGCCUCCAGAUUAGGCAAUUGCCGAACUAGGUGAACAAUUUAUCGCGUUCAUUUACUUUUCUUGCACUGUGUUUGAUGUUUCCUUUACAGUUUUCUUUAACAAUAAGUAGGAAGAAAGCCUAACAACUGGUAUUAGAGCCUUUGAGGUUCUUGGGGGUGCAAGUUUUUGAACCAAAAAUUGUUUGAGUUAAUUUUUCUUGGUCUGAUUUUUCUUGGGGUUGCCAAUUUUCUUAACAAACUGUGAGGCCAGCAAUAUUAGAUCAGUUUUUUAAUAUAAACUAAAAGAUCUAAUUCUUGUCUUUUCUGUAUUGUUGUUUUGGAAGGAAAAAGGUUGGUGAAAGGUGGUAAGACAACUACGGUCUACUUCCAGAAAUGAGGAGUUCUUUCUGUCCUCAAGUUGAGACCAGCAGUGUGUUCUUCUUUAUUGUUAAGACAGUCUAUGGUGAGUACGUUUUAAUUUUUUUUGCUUUUGUAGAGUAAUUUCAAUUCUUGAUAUUUGAUAUGAGAUAUAUACAUGUGAUACAUGGUAGAAUGGGUACUGUGAUUUGAAUUGGAUACUUCUGUUAGUGUGAGCAUAUUGCAUUAGAUAAGUUCUUCUAUAUAACUUGGUGUACUCACUCUGUAUCAAAUAUUAUUGUUCUUAUUUCAAAUUUGGUGAACAUAUAUCUGCGUGGAUUCUUGGAAUUUUUUCAAAACCAUUUUCUGCUCACUAGUUGAUCUUUAAUUCAAGAUUAAAACUAUGUCCAUGAGUAUAGGCUACCCUUUUACAAAACUCGUGAUGGGUUCGAAGGUCGAAUUGUCUAAAUUCGAUGGAAAGGAGGAUUACUCUAUAUGGAAGCAGAAAAUGAGAGCUAUUUUGGUUCAACAGAGUGUCGCUAAGGCCCUUUAUGAUCCUAAAACUUUUUCUGCAGAACUUAAGACAAAACCAAAUGAAAUUGAAGACAUGAAUGAAAUUGCUUAUAGUUCCAUAAUUUUACAUUUGUCUGAUAACAUUGUAAGGCAAGUUGAUGAACCCAAAACUACUAGAGCCCUAUGGACUACUCUUGAUGCUAUGUUCCUAACUAAAACACUUCCAAAUAAAAUUUUUCUCUUGGAGAAGCUGUUUAACUUUAGGAAAGACCUUGAGAAGGACUUAGAGGUAAAUUUGAGUGAAUUUAGUAUAAUAGUGAAAAGCCUUGCACACAAUGAGAAAAAAUUUGAUGAUGAAGACCUUGUUGUAAUCCUGCCAAACUCAUUACUUGACUCAUAUAAAAAUGUUUAAAAAAAAAAAAAAAAUACUCAAGGGAUAAACUAACUCAAGCUAUAGUCAUUGAUGCUUUGAGGCCUAGGUAGUUAGAAGUCAAAAUGGAAACUAAAUCUAAUCCUAGAGAUGAAAGCAUGUAUGUAGGAAGAAGACCUGUAAAGAGAGAGUAAUUUUUCCACAAAGAAGGGAAAAGGGAAAUUCAAAACCAUAUCAAAAUUUAGAGAUAAAAGCAACAAGAAGUGUUACAUUGUGGAAAAUUGGGACACUUCAAAAGGGAUUGCUUUGAACCAAAAAGGAAACAAAGAGAUCUUAAUAAUGGGGAGUUAAAUAAUAACACUAUGGAAGCUGGGGUUGACAGUCUCUAUGGUGAGGAAGUUAAUAAAGAUUGGUUAUUAAAGUCCAAGUGUACCUUUCACACGUGCCCUAUAAAAGAUUGGUUCCAUAAUUACAAAGAAAUAGAACCGAGGAAAGUGUACUUGAGGGAUAAUAAUUCACAAACUAUUGUUGUAAUUGGAAAUAUUGCCAUAAAAAUGCAUAAUGGCACUGUCAAGUCAAUCUUGAAUGUAAGAUAUGUUUCUAAUCUGAAAAGAAACCUAAUAUCCUUAGGGAUUCUUGAAGAUGAAGUACAUACCUUCAAGUCUGACAACAAAGUAUUAAAAAUAAUGAAAGGUUCACUUGUUGUGAUGAAAGGAUAAAAAAUAGAUGGGUUGUACUAGCUUGAAGGUAAAGCGAUUAAUGUUCUUGAUUCCAAUCUACCCACCGUUACUGAGAAUAAAACUGAAUUGUGGCACGAAAGAAUGGGACAUAUUGGGAAUAAAGGGUUUUAAAAUCUUUAAGUAAUCAAAGGUUGCUUGGAAAAGAUUUUGUUGAAACCAUAGAAUUUUGUGAAACCUGUGUUCUUGGAAAAUCUCACCGGAUGAACUUUGAAACAGGUUCACAUGUUACUAAGAAACCCUUAGAUUAUGUCCAUGCCGACUUAUAGGGGCUUGAAAGUCACCCCACUUUUGGUGGCAAUAGAUAUUUUUUUUCAUCUAUUGUUGAUGAUUAUUUUAGAAAAGUGUGGGUCUUUUCUUUUAAAGGCUAAGUCUGAUACCUUUCAAAAAUUCAGAAUAUGGUUGAAAAUCAAUUGGAUAAAAAAUUUAAAAUCUUAAGGACUGACAAUGGUCUUGAAUUCUGAAUUUCAAAACUUCUGUAAACAGAAAGGUAUCUUGAGACAUAGGACUGUCAAAAACACCCCCAACAAAAUAGGACCUUGAUGAAUAAGGUCAUAUGCAUGCUGAUCAGUUCAGGGCUUACAAAAGGGUUCUGGACUGAAGCAGUGUGUACAGCUACUUAUCUAAUUAAUAGAUCACUUUCAAGUUCCAUUGGACUUAAAACACCCCGGGAAUUAUGGUCUGUCAAAAAACUAGACCUGUCUAAUACCAAGGUAUUUAGGUAUGCUGCUUGUGCACGUCAAGUUGAAGGGAAGUGAGACCCAAGGGCAACAAAAUGUAUUAUGUUGGGUUACUCUGAAGGUAUAUAUUUUAUGUGGUUAUAAUAUUAUACUAGUAUCGAUAUAAUACCAAUCAUGACAUAUAUUUUAAAAGUUUAGUAAAGAACAAAUUACUAUUAAGUAGUAAAGUAUAUCCCUCUAUAAUACACAACAUUGACUCUUCUAGUUUAUGUUUGGUUCUAUCUUUAGACUAAAGGAAAACCAAGCCCGACAGAAUAAGCAUUUGAAAGCUUUUAUAACAUGUUAAAAUUUAAUUGGAAUAUUUUUAACUUUUUAUCAAAUACAUCCCAUCAAAAUAUUGAACAAAAAUAAACAUCUGUGAUACACCGAUAAUAUGUUAUUCCUAAACAACAAAAAUAAAUUCGUGGCAUGUUUCAAAUUCUAGUGGUCAAAUGAAAUCAUAAGAGAAUUAUCAUUAACAAUUAUGAGAAGUCUUACAGAAGCAAUUUCUCUUCAUUCACCAUGCAAAUAUGAUCUAAAGUCCAAUCUAACUAUCAACUAAAAUACGUUAGAAUAUAAUAAAGAGACUUCAUUUUGCAUGUUCAUACGUAUAAACACAUUCCGAUUUCAAAUAUUCAAUCCAAUGCAACGCCAUGGAUAUUUUUCAAAGAAUAAAUUUGGGAACAAAGAUUGAGAAGAAAAUUCCUUUGUCGCCAGAUAAGGAUUGGCAUUUCCCGCAUCACAAUUUUUUUUUUCUUUUCAGACAAAAAAUUGUUUAUUGAUCAACGAGAAAAUAAAGCUUUUGCAUAAUUAUUAGGCGAGAUUAAAUUGCACGGUAUUCUUUUAAAAUAUUUGCAUGCACAGGUCACGAUUCUUCAAGAAUAUAACUAUAUUUUUUCGAUUAUUAAUACGAUAUUUAAUUAUAUCAUAUUUAGUUAUUCUUUUUUCAGGAUUGUAAAAUAAUUAAACAUUAUUAGAAAUUAUAUGAUAUUUUCAAGAUUUAUGGUAUUUUAGGAGCACAACAUGAUAUUUUUAUAAAAUUAAAACUUAUAAAGUAAUGCUCUUUUAAGAGCAAUAGCACAUUUUUCCCCUUAUUAUUUGAAUUUGUGUUUCUUCAAGAGCAAUGAAAUAAAUGUUUUUUAAAUAAUAAUUUCUUCUUGAAUAUUGAUUUUAUAUUUAUACUAUUUCAAGAGUAGUAAUACAAGGGAAGUGUUACAUGUACAUAAUUGUUUACUUAAUGAUAUUCAGAAUUACAUGUGGCAUUGGAUGUAACCUUUAAUACAAAUCUCACACUUGCACAUCAACAAUCAGAUAAUUGCCACAUCAUAUUAUGGACACAAUUAUGUGUAAUAAUUAUGUACAAGUAGAAUUUUCUAGUAAUACAAUAUUUUUUGUAAUAUUGCCAAGAGCCCUAUCAAUCGGUAUAACUAAAAAAAUAUUUACCACUUUGUUUUAUAACUCAAAGUUGAGAGAAUACUUACAUUUUCUUUAAAUGAAAAGAAGAUUUUCCUUAUGAACUCAAUUAAUUCUCUAACUCAUCCAUCAUGUCAAGGCCAAAUUUGAUUUGUCAAUCCUCCUUAGAAAUCGGUGACUAAGGUGGGAAUGCUUGCGUGAAUAAAAGGAAAUUCUUUUAAGCUGAGCAGCAGCAUUAGCCUCUUCAAUGACAACUUUUGAUGAAACAAAACUAAAAAAGCCUAUUUGCCCUCGACGAGAAUUCACCCAGCCAUUUAUAGAGUGGUAAAGGAAUCUCGUCAUGCAUCACGAAUUAGGUGGCAAAGUGGUAUGAUGAGAACAAAUGGUAGAAAUGGCUAGGAAUUUUGUCCUAUUUCUAUUUCCCUUAUGUGCAUAUUUUAUUGAGAAUUAAAUUUCUAUAUUUAUGUUAAAAAAAUAAAGGUGCAAGGAAUAAUUGUUAUAAUAAUUUGGACCAUAGGGAUACAAUGAUCAUUCACUAAUUAUUAUUUAAUUUAGAACAUUUAGGUCCAUAUAUAAUUACAAAGUUUAUUUUUAUAGAGAGCAAGUAAAAUACUUCAUUACUAGGGUGUUGGAUGAAGAACACAAUGCAAGAUGACAAAUCUAGAUCAAUCGGAGGAGCAUUGUGAAGAUUGAGCUUUUAUUAAAUAAAAUUGAAUUUUAAUUCCAUUUAUUUUGGUUGAAUUAUGAAUAUUAUGGCUUUUAAUUUUUGUCAUUAUCUUUUUGGUUUAUUAAUUAUCUAAAUUCUAGUUAAUUUUUUAAAAUAAGGGUGUAAGCCAUUACGGCAAUAUGUUAUUUUUGGGGAAAAAAAUUAUUAUAGAUUUUGGAGUUUUUCAUUCUCUUAAAUUUUAAUUAUUUGAUAUUAAAAAUUAACGAGUCCAAAUUUUUUAUAUUUGUACAUAAACCGAAAAGUUUUUGAUGCCUAAAUUUUUGGUAUUCUUAGAAAUAAAUAGAAAUUAGAGGGUGAUCAUGUUGCGAUAUUCAUUUGAAAUCAAUGAAACUUCAAUAGUGUGUUCAUUUAUUUAUUUGUAUCGCUUCCAUCUACAUCAAAAACUAAGUUUGAUCUUCCCCUACACUCUCCAAAUUGUAAUAACGGCUCUCGAUGAAGCGAGCCAAAUGUUUUCUAAGGUCUUUUCAUCGAUUGAAAAUGGCACCUAGCCCAUAAACAUGCGUAUUUAUAGAUUAUAUUCAUCAUUGAAUUAUAAUGGGUCUACAUCUAUCCAUUAUAUUAAUGAGAAUCAGGAUAACUCGGCCUCCGAGCAUUUUUAAUCUACCGUCCAACUUGUUUUAGUUAAUUAAGGUCCCAUCAAUUUAGCAUAACAUAGAAAAAUUCCCAAAAAAAAAAAAAAAAAAAAAAAAAACCAUGUUGUUGUCAAGUGUAAUUUGCAUUAAUAUUCAAUGGUACCUUUCUACAUUUAUGAAGAUAAUAGGAAGACGUUCAAAUUCAGAGAAUUGCAGCCGUAUUAGCAGGAUACCGUAAAUAAGUAUUUUGAUUAUUGCAAUACAGAAUGUAAUAAAAAAAUUGUAGUAGCAGUUUUUUCGCAUGUGCUAGAAGGAUGGCUCGAUAAAGCCAUUAGCGUUGAAUAAGACUAAAGUGUCGAUAUAUUUGACAAAGUGAGGUGGAAAUUUAACUUUCGGCAAAAGCUUUACGAUAAACUUCGUAACGUUUACUAAUUUCAUUGAGAAUUAACCAAAUUUUCAUUUCUCAUCUCUUAACUUACAACUGCAGGACAAAAGUCAUUUUUGGAGAUUUUCCUGUGACCUUAUGUAAAAUGUGUGUAAAGAAUUUUAACAACACAAUUUAUACUAGUAAAGUCCAAAUUCAAUUGGCCAAAGUCACAACUAAAAGAGGACUUGAAUGAGGUAAAUAAUUUUAAAGGGACAUUUUACUGUUACACUAAAAGUCUAAAUUGAUAACAAAAAAUUGUAUAAUAAAGAAGAUGAGGGACUUGUCUUGCAAAUUUCCGUUUAGUGCUCAAUUGAAUUGGUGCCGUUUCUUUUGUUGAGAAGUGAAAGAAACCGUGAAAGAAGAAGAAGAAGGCCGGCAAGGUGAUUGGGAAAUGAUUGAUAUACACAACUUAAGCUUAGUUUCUUCAAUUUCCUGAGAAAGCAAGAAAUUUACUUAUUGAAAAGUUGUGUUAAAUUUUAGAACUUUUAGAUUCUUAGCUUAAAUUCGAAAUUUUGAAAGAGGAAUGAUUGAUUUAAGUGUAAUAAGCAAUUUAUUUAAGUUAAGAAAAGAAAAUAGCAGUUUAAAGUUUUAGGUUUCUUGAGCUAGUUGAUAACCUCAUUGCAUCCCGCACAGUGCUUUUGAGCAUGCAUAGUGUCCGCCCCAUUUUUACUUUCAUAUUUUAUGUAUCAGGUAAUUUGGUUAAAAGCGAACCUGUAUUACUCAAGAUUUAAUGUACAAUAUUGCUAAUUUUAUUUUGCUUUUCAAUGUGUGAUCCCUGGAUGCAGAUAUUAAGUUCAGAGUAGUAUGAGCUUGUAACAAAAUCGCUUUUGGAUCAUGUGGAAGAGAAGGGAAAAAUUGUUGAUGAUGAUGGAAACCUUAACCAUGCUCUCAUCAAAAAGUAAAUUUUUGAAGUAUCAUAUGUAGAUUUCCUAAUCAUAUCCAGUAAGGCUCUCACUAUAUACUUGUCUUUGCAGAGUAAUUGAUGAAACCGAUACAUAUAGAGACGGAAAUAUAACAAGAGAAUCGGCAGAGUUGUUGAAAAAACUCGUGCCAGGGAUGUCCGACAGUGAUAUAGACGCAACUGUUUUUAAAUCAAUGGAAAAUUUUGAUCACGACAAAGACAAUAAAAUCAACCAACAUAAAUUCAAAAAAGCAUGUGAAUAAUUAUUUGAAGAUGGUGACUUCUUUACAAGAGAAUUUUCGGAUGAGGCAAGCUCCCUAAUUAAUGCAAAUUUUAAAACUAUCGAUACUAAUACAAGUAUCUCGUGACAGUUUUAUUAGCACGAUGUUGUUUCUGUAAAUGCAUUUAGGGUCCUAUCAUAGUUUUCUUAUAAAGGAUGAACCAAAAAUAUCCAAAUUUUUUAUUGUAUUCUAUCCCUAGUAAUUUUACAUAAUUCACCAACAUUUAUUGAACACCAUGUUGUUGUCAAGUGCAAUAUGCAUCAAUAGUAGUUUUUGAAAUUAAUUAUAAAUACAUUCCUUAUUCGGGUUGAACUGCAGAUCUUUUUAACAGUUUUACCUAGUGGAAAAAGAUCAUAAAUUGGGACUUAAUCCAAUAAUGUCAAAAAUUCUAUAGCACCCUGAAAGGGAACAACAUAAAGGAUUGCUUAUCACACAAGAUGGGAAUGUCAACAAUGGCAGAAUUAACGAGUAAUUUAUUAUAAUUAACCUGUUUGUUUUCUUGAUUUGAUAGAAAUUCCUCACGAUCUUCUUUUUCUUCUGGUAGGCUCUUCAGACAAUAUGACAUUGACAAUAAUAGCAAGAUAUGAAGAAAUGAAUUAGAGGCCGUACUUCCAGGCUCAUGGUAUUCAUGUGUUGACGAAUUUUUCACUUAAUCAAGUACUUCAAAAAUCUGAUACUUCGAAACGAUUAUUGAAAUGGACCAUUAAGCACAGUGAGUUCGAUUUAGUGUACAAACCUAGAACUCAAUCGGAGAAAUCAAAUCUAGGGCAGGAGUGGUCUUGGAGAGUCUAGAAGGACAUAGGCCCAUUAUGCUGUAUGGUUCGGAUUUAAAGCCUCCAAUAAUGCUGCUGAAUAUGAGGCACUCUUGGCUGGCCAAUGGUUGGUCAAGGAGAUGCAGGUGAAGAAGUUGCUCAUUAGCAGCAACUCCCUGGUAUAAAUCAAGUUGAUGUCAAUUUUACCUCUAGAACAAUGGUAUGGGGUUGCUACCUUAAAUUCGUCGUGAAUUUUCUCUCCAACUUUGAAAAGUUUGAACUGGUAUAAAUUUCGUGUCUGGAAAAUGUUCAUGCCGAUGCUUAGUCAAAAUUAGCCAGCGGUAAAGAUUUCGAAUUUUUCAGAGUGAACCUUAUUGAGUACAUCGCUAGACCGUCAAUUGUGGAGGGAGAGGAAGUGAUGCGAAUCGACGGCACUCCAUCAUGGAUACAACCCAUUACUGCCUUUCUCAACUAUUAGAUCAUACCUGACAAUAAAAUUGAAGCCCACAAACUUAAUAGAAGAGUUGCUCAUUUCUUCUAAAAGACAAUAUCUUAUAUAAGAGAGGCUUUUUGUUCCUGCUUUUUCGUUGUAAUGGGGGAGAAGAGGCAAGCUGCAUCCUAAGGACAUUUAUAUGGGGUAUGUGCUAAACAUUCUGGAGGGCCGACAUUGGCACACAAGGUUCUCAAGUAGGGAUAUUACUGGCCCACAUUGAAAAAGGAUAUGCUCGAAUUUGUGCAAAAAUGUGACAAAUGACAAUGCUUCUCCAAUGUACAAAGGCAAUCAUCCCAAAAACUCACAGUAGUAUCUAGUCCUUGGCCAUUUACCAAGUGGGGAGUUGAUUUCACAAGGUCCUUACCAACAGGAAAAAGGAAGUGCCAGCUUUGCCAUUGUUGCAAUUGACUGCUUCACAAAAUGGGGCUAAGAUCAUUGAGGCAAAUACUUCUAAGUUUCUUUGGAAGAACAUAAUAUGGAGGUUCAGCAUCCCACAUUCUAUUUUAUCAAACAAUUGCAAAUAGUUCAACAACAAGAAAAUUCGAGAUUUUUGUGACGAACUGGGGAACAAAAGUAUUUCUCAAUGCCUUAUCACCCCAAUCUAGGGAUGGCAAAGAUAUUCGUCAUAUCCAAUACCUGUAGGGCCCAGUCAUGAACGAGGCGAAAAUUACUUGUUUAAUAUGGUAAUCGGGUUGGGAAAAUGUCCAACAGGGUACGGGGCGGAGGAGCUCUCCCUGCCCUGAACCCAUUUCAUUGUCAACCCUAUCUCAAGCCAACGAUCAAGUUGAAGCUGCCAGCAAAACCAUCAAAUAUACCCUAAAAAAGAAACUUGAUGUUUCAAAGAGAGCAUGGGUUGAUGAGCUUUCUCAAGUUCUUUGGGCUAUAUGCACUACUUGCCAAACUGCAAUAGGAAAAACUCCAUUUUCCAUGACUUAUGAAGCUGAAGUCAUGAGUCCGAUCGAGAUAAGAAUACCUUCGCCUCAUCAUAUUCAUUUUGAUGAAAUAGCAAACGACAAACUAAGGAAGUGUGAGCUUGAAUUCCUUGAAGAAAUUAAGGAUGCCUUUCGGGAGAAUCUUGCUAUAUACCAAUGACCGAUGAUUCUUUACUAUGAUGUCAAAGUAAAUAAAACAAAGGACAUUUCGCCUAGGCGACCUGAUGCUUUAGAUCGAUUUCCAGUCUUGAAAAGAGCCAGGUACAUGAACAUUGGGAUCCAAUUGGAAAGGUCCAUACCGUAUUAGGGAAAAAGCACUACCUGGAAAUUAAUAAAAUUGAAAGCAUGGAAAGGAAGCUGCUACCUCAUCCUUGGAAUAUUGAACAUUUGAGGAAAUAACACCAAUAGUUUAUUGCUCUAAGUGCAAUGUAUUUAUGUAAAUAUCUUUGUGCUAAUGAAAUGUUAUAAGCUAUGUCUCAUUACUUUUCCUCUUGAUAGAUGAACUAUCUACCAUGGGGGAGCCUUUGAUGAGGUUUUUGAUGCUUCCCACAAGGUCAUUUGAGGAAAUUAACUGACUUGACUGUUUGAUUGCUUGUGGCCACUACUAUCACCAUUAGGAAAGGUCGUGGCUGACUUACGAUUUCUGUCAAGCGUGCAGGGAUGAGCAUACGUAGAGCUGCUUUCUGUUGGCCACGUGGCGAUUCGUUUUCCAUGAUCAACAGAAAUGGGGUCCAAAUGCAUAUGACAUGAUUUACUAGAGACAUCUUUUCAUCAUUCGUUGUAUCAAGUGUAUUCCAAUAAUAAUCAUGUUACUUGUACAUCAAGUUUGAUAUCUGUG